UUUUCGGAGAGUUUGAUCCUGGCUCAGGACGAACGCUGGCGGCGUGCCUAAUACAUGCAAGUCGAGCGGAUGAUGGGGAGCUUGCUCCCCUGACUUUAGCGGCGGACGGGUGAGUAA
rnacentral:rRNA from 1 species